AGACAAGCUAUGAAGGGCACAUGGUGGAUGCCUUGGCAUCAAGAGCCGAUGAAGGACGUAGGAGCCUGCGAUAAGCCCUGGGGAGUUGGCAACCAAGCUGUGAUCCGGGGGUGUCCGAAUGGGGAAACCCAGCUGGAGUCAUGUCCAGUUACCUGCACCUGAAUAUAUAGGGUGUGUGGAGGGAACGUCGGGAAGUGAAACAUCUCAGUACCGACAGGAAGAGAAAACAAAAGUGAUUCCGAGAGUAGUGGCGAGCGAAAUCGGAUGAGGCUAAACCUACUUCGUGUGAUACCCGGCAGGGGUUGCGGAGUGGGGGUUGUGGGACCGUGCGAUUCCAUCUGCCGGUGGAGUACAGAGUCAUAAACCGCAUUCGAAGUGGAAGUCCAUUGGAAAGUGGCGCCGUAGAGGGUGAUAGCCCCGUAUGCGUAAGGAUGCGGCUCUGGUGCGGGAUCCCAAGUAACACGGAACCCCUGAAAUUCCGUGUGAAUCUGGCAGGACCACCUGUUAAGCCUAAAUACUCCUUGAUGACCGAUAGCGGACAAGUACCGUGAGGGAAAGGUGAAAAGUACCCCUGGCGGGGAGUGAAAUAGUACCUGAAACCAUGUGCCUACAAUCCGUCGGAGCGAGAACUUGUUCUUGUGACGGCGUGCCUUUUGAAGAAUGAGCCUGCGAGUUUGCGGUGUGUUGCGAGGUUAACCCGUGUGGGGAAGCCGUAGCGAAAGCGAGUCCGAAUAGGGCGAUUCAGUAGCGCGCUCAAGACCCGAAGCGAAGUGAUCUAUCCAUGGGCAGGUUGAAGCGCGGGUAAGACCGCGUGGAGGACCGAACCCACUUAGGUUGAAAACUGAGGGGAUGACCUGUGGAUAGGGGUGAAAGGCCAAUCAAACUUCGUGAUAGCUGGUUCUCCCCGAAAUGCAUUUAGGUGCAGCGUCGCGUGUUUCUUGCCGGAGGUAGAGCACUGGAUAGCUAAUGGGCCCUACAAGGUUACUGACGUUAGCCAAACUCCGAAUGCCGGUAAGUGAGAGCGCGGCAGUGAGACUGCGGGGGAUAAGCUCCGUAGUCGAGAGGGAAACAGCCCAGACCACCAGCUAAGGCCCCUAAGCGUGUGCUAAGUGGGAAAGGAUGUGGAGUUGCACAGACAACCAGGAGGUUGGCUUAGAAGCAGCCACCCUUGAAAGAGUGCGUAAUAGCUCACUGGUCAAGUGAUUCCGCGCCGACAAUGUAGCGGGGCUCAAGUCAUCCGCCGAAGCUAUGGCAUUCGCACCCACCUUGUGUGGAGAGCCCGAAAGGGUGUGUGGAUGGGUAGGGGAGCGUCGUGUCGCGGGUGAAGCCGCAGAGUGAUCUAGUGGUGGAUGCGACACGAGUGAGAAUGCAGGCAUGAGUAGCGAAUCAGGAGUGAGAAACUCCUGCGCCGAAUGAUCAAGGGUUCCAGGGUCAAGCUAAUCUGCCCUGGGUAAGUCGGGNNNNNNNNNNGCUUAGAAGCAGCCACCCUUGAAAGAGUGCGUAAUAGCUCACUGGUCAAGUGAUCCUGCGCCGACAAUGUAGCGGGGCUCAAGUACACCGCCGAAGCCGCGGCACUCACACAAUAGCCCGCCUUCACUCUGCGGAGUGUUGGCUAGGUGUGUGGGUGGGUAGGGGAGCGUCCUGCAUCCAUGGAAGCAUCGGAGUGAUCCAGGUGUGGAGGGUGUGGGAGUGAGAAUGCAGGCAUGAGUAGCGAAAGCGAAGUGAGAAACUUCGCCGCCGAAUGACCAAGGGUUCCUGGGCCAGGCUAAUCCGCCCAGGGUGAGUCGGGACCUAAGGCGAGGCCGACAGGCGUAGUCGAUG
rnacentral:rRNA from 1 species